rnacentral:rRNA from 1 species
UACGUAGGGGGCAAGCGUUGUCCGGAAUCAUUGGGCGUAAAGCGCGUGUAGGCGGCUCGAUAAGUCCGCUCUGAAAGUCCAGGGCUCAACCCUGGGAUGCGGGUGGAUACUGUCGGGCUCGAGUCCGGAAGAGGCGAGUGGAAUUCCCGGUGUAGUGGUGAAAUGCGUAGAUAUCGGGAGGAACACCAGUGGCGAAGGCGACUUCCUGGCCUGUUCUUGACGCUGAGGCGCGAAAGCUAGGGGAGCAAACAGG